CACACGAGACCGCCCAGCACCACUUUUACGAAUUAGUUCGUAACAGUGAUGAAAAUCAUUUUAUGCACAAUAUCGUUAAUUAUUUUAUUGACGUGCGUGGUAAAAGUGGUGCUGGGAGGAAGGAGAGGAUGACGCCAGGUCAGCAUGUCCUUUGAUACCCUGGGCUACACACAUAAUACAAUGGCCGUUACAACGCGCAGCGACGAGGUGACUCUGAGCUAAUCGUUUAAAAGCGGCCUCAGUUCGGAUUGGAGUCUGCAACUCGACUCCAUGAAGCCGGAAUUGCUAGUAAUCGCGGGUCAGCUAAACCGCGGUGAAUACGUUCUCAAGUCUUGUACUCGGGUCGCCAUGCGAUUUUGUACACU
rnacentral:ncRNA from 1 species